AUCACCAUCUAUUUUGGGUGGUUAAUUCCUCUUACGUCAAGCUAGAUGAGGUGUCCAUGCCUGUGGCCUCGCCUUCUCCAACUUAGCUGCAGAUUUGGGGAGGCGCCGGGCGCGGCCGAAGAUGGGCCGGCGCGGGGCGGAUCCGCUCCGGCGACGACCAGAGGCGAAGGGGCGCAGCCGGAGACGGGCCAGCCGGAGGUGAAGGGGCAGCGAGGGGCAGCGCUGGGACGGUGGUGGAGGAACAGUGACGAGCGCGCCGGCCAUGGCGCCGCUCGCCGGAGCAUAUCAGCGUCUCGUCACUCGUCAAUAUUACUUCCCCAUAUAGAAGAGAUCCAUUUGCAUUAGGAUCUUUUUGUGAGAAUCAACUUGGUGAAAAAAGGCGUAUGAUUUGUUUGUUCACUCAAUGGAUCAGGUGAUGACAUGCCCUCGCUCGCUGAUCUUGUGCUUGAUCUAUAUAUGUGUACUAUAUAGUAUUUAAUGGUUAAAGUUUCAAAAGGGUUGAACACCAACCAGAAGUUUUCCUCUGGUUAGAGAAGCGGGGAUUAUAUACCUUUGAAUUGACUCUUUUUCCUGCACCAAUAGUUGAUAAUUUAAUUACAAAGUUUAGCCAGCUUGUUGAAAAAUAAUUCUAGCAGCACCCUGUUCCUGACUUAGAUUUUCUAUAGAUGUUUAAUUGCUGGAAUUGUAAUUGCGCCGACAUUGAUAUAUAAUAUGAAUGCUUGAUAGUUUUCGUUGUGGAGAUCUCCAUGAGCCCAAUGGCAUAGUAUGCUAUCCAAUGAAGCUGAUUCAGCCCGAACUACUCAUGCUUAUUCUCUUCACUUUAUCAGGUUGUUUUCAAAGGUUGCAGCCAAGCACAUUAUCACCAUAUGUUCUAGAGCCUUUUUGGGAGGUGACGGAGUAGAAUGUUCUUGCUAAUCAGCUUCUUGGGAAGGUUUGGUUUUGUGCUCAUUUAUCAUUAGAUGAUGUCCUGAACAUCUGUUGUAAAGUAGUUCCAGUAACCUGAUGCUGAGUAGUACCAACAGGUAUUCCAGGUACUCGUGCUCUUAUACCCAUCCUAACACAACAACACUAAAUUAGUUUUAGUUCUUUGUGUAAGCCUGUGUCAUAAAAUAGAUUAUAUACUUCAGCUUUGCAUGCGGUAUUGUCCUUAUGGUGUUACUGUGCAGAUGCUUCUUGGGCAGCCAUAUUUCAUAAGCUUAGCGUCAUAUGACUUCCGAAAUACUGGCUCCUGGCACAAGGGCACCACCCCAUUGUAUAUGCAUUAAGAUCUCUGGUGAAGUUUGUCACGCCUUGUUAAUUAUAUGAGCUUAGCAGAGCUUCGUUCCUGGUAUAUAUGUUAUUGGUUAUGAUCCAUGUAUAGUGAGUUUUAGUAUAUCAAUGUUGUAUAAACUAUUCCUUGUGAAAUGUUGCAUAUUCGCACAUCGUGCAAUUCAGUAAAUAAUAUUAAGGCGACUCCGUCCCAAAUAUACAA